rnacentral:rRNA from 1 species
UACGAAGGGGGCUAGCGUUGCUCGGAAUCACUGGGCGUAAAGCGCUCGUAGGCGGAUUGUUAAGUCGGGGGUGAAAUCCUGGAGCUCAACUCCAGAACUGCCUUCGAUACUGGCAAUCUUGAGUCCGGGAGAGGUGAGUGGAACUCCGAGUGUAGAGGUGAAAUUCGUAGAUAUUCGGAAGAACACCAGUGGCGAAGGCGGCUAACUGGUCCAGCACUGACGCUGAGGUGCGAAAGCGUGGGGAGCAAACAGG